UCUAUGUGGCCCCAAACCAACAGUAUAUGUCAGUGUGGAUGGAUGGUGACUUGCAAUUUACAGUAUAACCUUUGCAUAACACUUGUGUACUUGUGCACAGAAAAGUGCAGGACUUCUUAGACAGUAUGCCAUCUACAGCACCUUCAGAAAUAAAACAUGCGUGCAGGUCUUUUCAGGCAGCCUUUGGCACGAUCUGAAAAAGACGCCUGGUUUCCUUCUCAAUAGAGGAUCUGCUGUUACUAUUGUAAUCCAUCAUCCACUGCACAUGAUUACCAGCAUUAACUAGCUGAAUUGGCUGUGUUCGCCACUGACAGGAAAAGCCCACGACCUGUUGCUUUCAUUCUGGUCUCCUUGGCCUGAGCAACUAGUGAAAGCACUUCAGUCGCUCACAAAUACAUCUUGAAGAGCAAAUAUCAACAGGUCUUUUAAUAAAUGAAAGGCCAUGCAGCCUGAUAUUGCUUGUCAAAACUUGCUGUAAAGAAGAGUGAUGUACUGGAAGAAAAGAAAUGGAAAGAAUGAAGUAUUUUCAAAUAAUAUGGGCUGGUUAGUUCUGUAUAGUGCAUUUACAGGUAGAGGUUUGUGUUUAUACUAUGCUCAGUUAUAAAUAGGUGCAUGAGUGAUGAUGUGCACUGUAUCAUACAGCACAUAGCACCUGGAUGCUACUGACGCUGCAGCUGCUGCUCUGUACGAUGUUAUGUGUGCGUGCACUUGUGUCAGGACAUGUUGCCAUAGAAAUACUGUAACAGAGGGCCAAGUGCCACAAUUUUAUCUUUAUAACGUGGAAACUGGACGAAUCACCGUUUUUUUUAAUAUAAAAUAACCGAAAGCUGAACCUUAGUUUUCAGUCGUACAGGUACUUGUGGUGUUUGUGCAAUAUGUCUUAUUCUUUAGCUGGACCCUAAAACCUUCAUUUGUAAUCACUUCUAGCUAAUACUCUUAAAUUAAAUUUAGUUAAAAAAUGUAGAAAGUCUCCAAAUAUGGUCUCUCUCUCAAUGUUUCUCCUACUGUGUAACUAGCAAUUAGUUCAUCUUAUGCGUGUAGGAUUGAGAGAAAAGCUGAAAAGCUUUGCCAACAGAAGUGUACAGCUAAGCAACAGUUUCUCUGCUGGAUGCCAGACAAGAUACUUUAAUGUACAAUAGACUCCAAGUUCCUCGUCAAAACAACAGGGAUACACGUGAAUUUCGGUGUAGCCGAGAGGAAAUACAGUAAUAGUGCUAUAAAUAAAAACUUGGUGGUUUAAGUGAUUUGCAUAAUAAAUAAAAUGAGUUGGAUUGAGAAUCCAACAGAUUGGUAAUGCAUUUAAAAUUAAAGAGAAAAUGCUUACUGUAUAUUAUGUUAUAAAAGAUAUAUUGUUAAAUGUAAAGUUUGUGGUGUAAUUGUGUAAUGAUGUCGUAAAUGUGUUUACUUAUGUGGUUCAAGUCAAGUUCAACAGUAAAGGUUGAGUUUUAAGUUUGCUAAGAAAACGAUGCACUGCUUUUAUUUUGGGGAACGAAGAAGAAGGAGGACAACGAAAAAGACAAGAAGAAGACAAGGGCGCGAGAACGAGGCGGAGGCUAACGCUAGCAGCGCGCGGUAGGAACAACCCUGAUGCUAAGCACCUGGAACGCAGGUGAUAUAAGUGAGAGACUGUCGACAAGUGCAAAGAACUCGUGUACGUGGUAGCGGAGGCAAACUUCAGCACGAAGCCAGGCCCGUUUGUCAAAGUGACGAGGGGAAGUAGCAGCACGUGAGCUAACCCAGCUGGACAACCGUCUCUUCAGCUGUUCGGGGUUGGACACCAGCGACGUCGGCCGCAUGGGCCCAGCUGUCAUCCUGCUCUACGGCAGCGAGGUGGAUACAGCAUCGAGUAUCGCCAUCAUGGCUUCGCAUUGUAAAUGAAUGAUCAUUGAGGAGGCUGUCCACGCCUUCUGCAUGCUCGGGAAUGUGCUGCGAAGGAGACCUGCGGCGCUGAAACACUAGCGGGUCGAGGUGGACCACACGCAGGCGGAGCUACGUGGGGAAAGGCUCCGAUUUGAUCAGCUUUAUUAUUCUUGAUAAUGACCCUGGUUCAGUUCAAACCGCCUCUAACACAUUUGUUGCGGUUUGUUUUGCCUGUGGACGUCACACAGGCUGUCAAGGGUCAAGUGAUGCACCUCUGUUCUAGUCACUCCAUCCGCUGUCAGAGUAAACAUAUUUGUAAUUACAGCUUCCAAUCAUUUAUUUAUGUUGUGCAUCAGUGAUGUAGUCAAGCCCCGUGACGCAGAAGAGAAGUGAUCUAUCAGAUGACAUCAGAUACUCCAGGAUUAUGAAUAAUCAUAGUACAGAAGACGGUAGGCGGUCGUAAACAUGAAUCUGCUGCAACAAAGUAGAGGCUUCGUGCAAGAGAAAUAUAACUGAUAAUGUUGAAUUAUGGCAAGUGGGCUGACACCAAUAUCAUCCAGGAGUCCAGGUGGUAAAUUGGACUGUGGCAACCAGAGCCCGCUACGCUUUAAGCACUGUAAACAAAUGCAUUUAGUCCAGUUAAACCUUUACAUAAAUGGAAUUUGGAGAACUCUUAGUGGAGUACAGUAUUACAGACAAUAAAAUUAUUUUAGUUCACAGUGAAUACGCAAGUAGACCCUCCAUCUCAGAUGAAGACGCUUUCACACUCUUCACAUCUGACUUGUCCUUCUGUAACUGUCUGCCACUCCUCAUCUAUAUCUCGUCUCAUGUCUGGAGCAGAAUGAAUCCAUAAGGGAUUAUUAUUAUUAUUAUUAUUAUGGCCUCUUGUGGCUGCUUGUGAUUUGUCCACUAGCUGUGGGUCAGGUAAUGGUUAUAAUGUACACUGCAAAGGCUGGAAGGGCACAAGGUGAUUUUACUGUGUGUGACAUCAAAUUAUGCCGUCGCCGUGGAAACAAUAAUUCUGUUUGAAUACCUUCUCACUCACGGUACACUCAAUCUAUGUUCUGCCUGACUCCAUGACAAUUAUUGACAAUUAAGGAAGGGACAUGGGUUCAAAGGUGAGCUAACGUGAGACACCGGGGCUUUUACUUGGUCUUAUAGGAGAGUGUUCCUUUAAUUUUAAUCCAACCCAGUUUACACCGACUCAAAAUGUCGUCUGUGUUCAUCUGCUGUCUUUUCAACAGUAAUUACAUCAAUACAACAACAGAGUCGUGUCACUCUCAGUUUCUCUGUAAUGGAAAGGCUGUUUUCACUCACCCCUUAAUUCCAGUUCAUUCACUGUACCGUUUGCCCUGAUUGAUGCUAAUCUAGCAUUAUUGCAACUUAACAAUGCACCAGAUUGUUCACUUUAUAAUUAUCCUCUCCCCACCAUUGUGGCUUGGCUUUUAAUGUGAACACUCCACAAGAGAUGUUGACUUUAGCAGAUGACAGCUUAAUACAGGCCGAAUUGAAAAACGAGAGAAUGUUAUUUGUGUUUUUCAAGCAAAGUGAUGACUCUGACCUGACUAGGUUUUAUACAGUAUUUUUGGGAAUAAUGCUUUAGAAAUGUGCUGUAGAACUUGGAUAUAUUAUGCAUAGAAGCUUCUCGUGUUUUAGGUCCUCCAACCUUUUCUUAAUGGUUUUCUGAUAUUAUUAUUGUUUAUAAAUAUUACAGUACGAUGAUCAAAUCAUCCAAUUGUUCCUCAUUUUUACUGUAGUUACGUCAGAACUUUCCCAAGAAGUUGAAACAUUCCUUUUAAGAUGUAACAUGUGGGCUAAUUCUGUACAGUCACGCUGUUGGGAAAUGAAUAUGAGAGUGGAGAAAUGCGAAGCUGUGUAUCAAGUGGAGAUAAUCAAAUCCAUCGUGCCAAAUGAGUCAUGUAACGUGGAAAGGUACACUGGAUAAACACGGCGCCAGCUACCCGGCUUCGCCGGUGCCUGGAUGAGCUCGGUUACAUCAUGUUACACAUGGAAAGACACGGGAGAUGAGGAAAUCAAACUCGGGCACUUGAGGCAGAUUUCGCACUGCGGGCGUCCAAUCAAAGAGAAAGGAGAAUCUUGAUGGGUUUUUAAAAAGUCUCAGACACAUUUUGGCAACACUUUAAAGAGUUUUGUGGCCGGUUUGACUUUAAUAACUUUAUUAGGACACGCUAAGACGGACGAUUUGAUUGACAGGACUAUAAAGCCACAUUUUGUCUGAAUAAGCCAGUGGAAGUGCAGCUGUGGAUAACAUCAAAUUCAGCUAGAUGGGGUUUUGUGCAGGGCAGCCGUCUAAUACUCUCUAGUUCAAAAUGAAAUCCAUAUUCAAAGGGUAAAAUCUCCUAAAGCUAAACAGACACCAUACGUUUGCUUUUAAUGCGCCGCAUUAUAUGUUCCACCCACCAUUUAUCUUUGUAAAAAUACUUGACUUUGACAUAAUAAUUAUGGUGUUGUCAUGCAACAUGCUUGGAAUUAUUCUGUUAUAAUAUAAUGUAAUUAUCCCUGUAACUGUCUUGCAGUGAUAUAAGUGUCCACUGCAAACAAUAUCAUAAUCAUAUAGCGAAUAUGAUAAGAUCUCUUUUUAUUUGUUGCUG